GAUGAACGCUGGCGGCGUGCCUAAUACAUGCAAGUCGAGCGAACAGACGAGGAGCUUGCUCCUCUGACGUUAGCGGCGGACGGGUGAGUAACACGUGGAUAACCUACCUAUAAGACUGGGAUAACUUCGGGAAACCGGAUCUAAUACCGGAUAAUCUAUUGCACCGCAUGGUUCAAUAGUGAAAUACGGUUUUGCUGUCACUUAUAGAUGGAUCCGCGCCGCAUUAGCUAGUUGGUAAGUUAACGGCUUACCAAGGCGACGAGGCGUAGCCGACCUGAGAGAGUGAUCGGCCACACUAGAACUGAGACACGGUCCAGACUCCUACGGGAGGCAGCAGUAGGGAAUCUUACGCAAUGGGCGAAAGCCUGACGGAGCAACGCCGCGUGAGUGACGAAGGUCUUCGGAUCGUAAAACUCUGUUAUUAGGGAAGAACAAAUGUGUAAGUAACUAUGCACGUCUUGACGGUACCUAAUCAGAAAGCCACGGCUAACUACGUG
rnacentral:rRNA from 1 species